rnacentral:lncRNA from 1 species
UUUAUACUUCAGGCAACUUCAUUACCUCUUAUAUAUCAAACACCUCAACCUUGUUAUGAGCACACAUGGUCAACUAUCCUACAGUUACAUCAAUCAAUGAAUACCCAAUUUCUAAAAAGGGACAUCCUAAAAUAAAUGGGACUUUCAGAUAUGUAUCAAAAUCAAGAAUAAUGAAAUCUACUAAGAAGGUAUGUGACCCCACUUGCACCAAUAUAUCUUGAACAAUUUUAUCUGGUUUGGUAAGCUAACGAUUUGAUAACUGCAAAACAACUAUGGUGGGUCUUGGGAUGCCUAGCCCCAUUUUUUUGAAUAAUGAUGUGGGCACAAGAUUUAUGCUCACCCCAAGAUCAUAGAGACCUCGAGCGCUUAUUGAUUUCCCGAUUGUAAUUUGAAUGGUAAAAUUCCCUAGAUCUUUCAUCUUUAUAGGUAACUUGUUUUGGAUUUGUGAUGUG